GACAAACGCUGGCGGAAUGUAUUAGGCAUGCAAGUCGUACGAGCCUUCGGGCUAGUGGCGAACGGGUGAGUAACACGUGGGUAACCUGCCCCGUAGUGGGGAAUAACUCCUCGAAAGGGGAGCUAAUACCGCAUAAGACCCCCGGUGAGAGUCCGGGUGGUGAAAGCUCCGGCGCUACGGGAGGGGCCCGCGGCCGAUUAGCUAGUUGGUGGGGUAAUGGCCUACCAAGGCGACGAUCGGUAGCUGGUCUGAGAGGACGAUCAGCCACACGGGGACU
rnacentral:rRNA from 1 species